rnacentral:lncRNA from 1 species
AGUCCUACAGGUGGACGCCCCGGGUCUGCAGUCCCACAGGUGGGCGCCCGGGUCUGCAGCCCCACAGGUGGGCGCCCGGGUCUGCAGCCCCACAGGUGGGCGCCUGGGUCUGCAGUCCCACAGGUGGAUGGGCGCCCCCAGGACACCCAUGCACAGAGGCGCUUGCCCGUGGAAACAGCCGCACCAGCAGCUCUCGGGGCUUCCUCAACCUGGAAAGCUCUUGCUUGGCUGCCCCUUCUUGAGCCCUAAAGGGAAGGUGUUUGGUCGCCUUGAAAAUCUAGAGUGAGUUGGGCGUAGUGGUCCACACCUGUAAUCUAGCACUGUGGGAGGCCGAGGCGGGAGGAUUGCUUGAGCCCAGGAGUUUGAGACCAGCCUGGGCAACAUAGCAAGACCCCAUCUCUACAAAAUAUCAAAAAAUUAGCUGAGCGUGGUGGUGCUCCUGCAGUCCCAGCUACUUGGGAGGCCGAGGCAGGAGGAUUCCUUGGGCCCAGGAGUCUGGGGCUGCAGCAGUGAGCUAUGAUGGCCGUACUGCACCCCAGGCUGGGUGACAGAGCAAGACCCUGUCCCAAAAAAAAAGAAAAAAGAAAAUCCAAGGAGUGGGUUUGAGGCCUCACUUUGGGGCUCGAAUAUUUGUUUUUUGGUUUUUCAUUUGUUUGUUUUAAGACAAAGUCUCGCUCUGUCACUCAGGCCGAAGAGCAUUGGUGCGAUCUUGGCUCACUGCAACCUCUGCCUUCUGAGUCGACCCUAUUCUCCUGCCCCAGCCUCCCCAGUAGCUGGGAUUACUGGCACGCGCCAGCACGCCCGGCUAAUUUUUGUAUUUUUAGUAGAGAUGGGGUUUCACCAUGUUGGCCAGGCUGGUCUUGAACUCCUGAUCUCAGGUGAUCUGCCUGCCUUGGCCUCCCAAAGUGCUGGGAUUACAGGUGUGAGCCACCGUGCUCAGCUGGGGCUCUAGAAUGUUUAAAAACAGUCACCCCCUCGGUACUAUGGACAUUGGGACCAGAUGGUUCUCUGGGGUGGGGCCGUCCUGGGCCCUGCAGGGUACUGAGCAGAGAGCCUCCACC